rnacentral:rRNA from 1 species
AUUGAACGCUGGCGGCAUGCUUUACACAUGCAAGUCGAACGGCAGCGCGGAGAAGCUUGCUUCUCUGUCGGCGAGUGGCGAACGGGUGAGUAUAGCAUCGGAACGUGCCAAGUAGUGGGGGAUAACCAAACGAAAGUUUGGCUAAUACCGCGUAAGCUCUAAGGAGGAAAGUAGGGGACCUAAAUAAGGCCUUACGCUAUUUGAUCGGCCGAUGUCGGAUUAGCUAGUUGGUGGGGUAAUGGCCCACCAAGGCAAUGAUCCGUAGCGGGUCUGAGAGGACGAUCCGCCACACUGGGACUGAGACACGGCCCAGACUCCUACGGGAGGCAGCAGUGGGGAAUUUUGGACAAUGGGGGAAACCCUGAUCCAGCCAUGCCGCGUGUAUGAAGAAGGCCUUAGGGUUGUAAAGUACUUUUGUUAGGGAAGAAAAGCUAGUUUUUAAUAAAAAUUAGUGAUGACGGUACCUAAAGAAUAAGCACCGGCUAACUACGUG